rnacentral:tRNA from 1 species
GGCUUUAUACCUCAGUUGGUUAGAGUCUCACGCCGGUAUCAUGAAGUCACGGGUUUAAACCCUGUUGAAGUCC